rnacentral:rRNA from 1 species
CGCUGGCGGCGCGCCUAACACAUGCAAGUCGAACGAGCAAAGAGGAGCUUGCUUCUCUGAGCGAGUGGCGAACGGGUGAGUAACGCGUGAGGAACCUGCCUCAAAGAGGGGGACAACAGUUGGAAACGACUGCUAAUACCGCAUAAGCCCACGGGUCGGCAUCGACCAGAGGGAAAAGAUUUAUCGCUGAAAGAUGGCCUCGCGUCUGAUUAGCUAGUUGGUGAGGUAAACGGGCCCACCAAGGCGACGAUCAGUAGCCGGACUGAGAGGUUGAACGGCCACAUUGGGACUGAGAUACGGCCCAGACUCCUACGGGAGGCAGCAGUGGGGAAUAUUGGGCAAUGGGCGCAAGCCUGACCCAGCAACGCCGCGUGAAGGAAGAAGGCUUUCGGGUUGUAAACUUCUUUUGUCAGGGACGAGUAGAAGACGGUACCUGACGAAUAAGCCACGGCUAACUACGUG